rnacentral:rRNA from 1 species
GAGUCAACUCCGCAAGGGGUGGCGCACGGCUCAGUAACACGUAGUCAACCUACCCUAGGGACGGGGAUAACCUCGGGAAACUGAGGCUAAACCCCGAUAGGCUAUAGCCUCUGGAAUGAGCUAUAGCUGAAAUCUAUAUGGCCCUAGGAUGGGACUGCGGCCGAUCAGGUAGUUGGUGGGGUAAUGGCCCCACCAAGCCUAUAACCGGUGCGGGCUCUGAGAGGAGGAGCCCGGAGAUGGGCACUGAGACAAGGGCCCAGGUCCUAUGGGGCGCAGCAGGCGCGAAACCUCCGCAAUGGGCGAAAGCCCGACGGGGUUAGUCCGAGUGGUCCCUGCUGAAGGGGCCUUUUGCCAGCUGUAAAAAGGCUGGCGAAUAAGGGGUGGGCAAGUUUGGUGUCAGCCGCCGCGGUAAUACCAGCACCCCGAGUGGUCGGGACGAUUAUUGGGCCUAAAGCAUCCGUAGCCGGCUUAGCAAGUCCUCCGUUAAAUCCAACGGCUUAACCGUUGGGCUGCGGAGGAUACUGCUAAGCUAGGGGGCGGGAGAGGCGAGGGGUAUUCCCAGGGUAGGGGUAAAAUCCGUUGAUCCUGGGAGGACCACCAGUGGCGAAGGCGCCUCGCUAGAACGCGCCCGACGGUGAGGGAUGAAAGCUGGGGGAGCGAACCGGAUUAGAUACCCGGGUAGUCCCAGCCGUAAACGAUGUAGGCUCGAUGUUGGGUUACCCAAGUGGUAGCCCGGUGUCGCGGGGAAGCCGUUAAGCCUACCGCCUGGGGAGUACGGCCGCAAGGCGUGAAACUUAAAGGAAUGGCGGG